GGAUGCGUAAGCAGGGCUUAUUUCGGAUUGCAACUCUGAAAGUAAGGGUUCGAUUCCCUUCGUAUCCU
rnacentral:tRNA from 1 species